rnacentral:rRNA from 1 species
GACGAACGCUGGCGGCGUGCUUAACACAUGCAAGUCGAGCGGUAAGGCCUCUUCGGGGGUACACGAGCGGCGAACGGGUGAGUAACACGUGGGUGACCUGCCCUCAGCUCUGGGAUAAGCCUGGGAGACUGGGUCUAAUACCGGAUAUGACCUUUCCUCGCAUGGGGUUUGGUGGAAAGUUUUUUCGGCUGGGGAUGGGCCCGCGGCCUAUCAGCUUGUUGGUGGGGUGAUGGCCUACCAAGGCGACGACGGGUAGCCGGCCUGAGAGGGCGACCGGCCACACUGGGACUGAGACACGGCCCAGACUCCUACGGGAGGCAGCAGUGGGGAAUAUUGCGCAAUGGGCGGAAGCCUGACGCAGCGACGCCGCGUGGGGGAUGACGGCCUUCGGGUUGUAAACCUCUUUCGACCCCGACGAAUUUGGACGGUAGGGGUAGAAGAAGCACCGGCCAGCUACGUG